UGAAACAUGAUAGUUUAGAAAGCCUCUAACUGACUGAACUAUCUAAGUAAGGAGUUGAUGGGACAUCUCCCCAACUAACUCCAACUAAUAAACUAAUUAAUGAGAUAAUAGAGAAAUAAUCAUGUCCUCAAAUGAUGAGGACUCACUUCUAACUUUGACUGCUGAAAAUGGAAUCUACUGCUGAUCUGGAGCUCAUGUCUCUAAACCUGUGGUAUAAGACACCAUAGCGCAAAUACAUCAGUACUUUGAAUGUGCUGGUAUGCAUGUGGGGUAGGCUGAAUUCGUGGAGUUUAUAUGCAUGAACAAUACUGGCUAACUGAUUAAUAUGAACGUGAGAAUACAUGCAUGCAUACAUAGUAACUAUAUCUAAAAUUAUGAUAACAUGAGUACUGAAUUUGAAUACUGAUAACAUGACAUACUGAUAACAGAUAUAACUGAUAACAUGAGUGAUCAUAUCUGACAGUCCUGAAUCUAGUGGAACUAUUUGAGUUCCAUUCUAUAUCUGAGUUGACUGUAUCUGACAAUCCUGGAUUCAGAAGAACUAUCUGAGUUCUUUUAUUGAGACUGAUACUAAUACUGUGGGAGGUAGUCAUGUAACUGACAUACCCAAAUGAUGCAUUAUAGCUGAAUUGAGGUCUAAUCUAUGCCCUGAUUGGAAAGGUGUCAAUACCGCGCUACUGAUAAGGACAACAUUCGAGUGACCCUAAUAUAACAGGUAACUCUAGUGAGAAUGGUGGGAACCCUCAUAUAGUAGGCUAAGACACAUCAUCUACCCUCAUAUAACAGGCUAUGAUGUCUCAACCUAUGUUGGCUACAUAGUUCUGGAAUGCAAGGAUUGCUUCUAAGAAUCACACCCUCAUCUAACAGGUGAGUUUCCAUCCUUGGGUUCACUCGGUGCUAAUUUCUACUCCCAUCUGAAUAGACACUGUGAUACGGGUCAAAGAGGCAUCUUAGCACUCAAGGAUAUGAAGACGUGAGGAAAAACCUGAGUUUGUGGGGCUGCCUAACCAAGGAACAAGCUUUCAAGUGUAGAGAACAAGUCCCAAUACUCCAAAACUGUCCAAGAAGCCAAGCCCCUUUGUUUGGGCUCAUUAAGGGACUUUUAGUCAUUUAUGUAAAAGUGUUUCCGUAGCCUAUAAAUAGAACAAUUAGGUCAUUUUGUUAUUUAGACUUUGAUGAUAUGUUUUGAGAGAACCAUAGAGUGUUUUGCAAGGUAGAAUCCUUGUGUUGGUAGCUUGCUUAGAAACGUUGGUUUCUUAGGGAUUUAGGUUCCCUUGAGGUCAUGUAAGAGAUAGGUUUAUGUUGUGUGUGGUAUUAAAGGUCCAAGAGUGUAAUAAGCUCUUGGGUUGUUAAUAUUACAUCUCCAUUUAUCUAUCUUUCUAUCUUUACUUUGUUCUAAUUGUUGGUGUUCUUGUUCUAGUAUUGUAACCUGUGACUUGUUGUCAUUGUUAUAUCCUUGUAGUUGUUCAUCUUGUCUUCAUAUUGUUGUUGUUAAUCUUACUUUGGAUUGGCUGUUUCGGUGUUAAAACACACCCUUUAUCUCAUCAUUGUUGUUGUUAUUGUUGAAUUCGAGUGUUAUCUCUAAAUGGUCCUUGAAUCUUCGGAUUUGUGGACUAUUUUGAGUGUGUUUUCUUGUCUUCUUGAUAAUUCCGAUAUCAUUUGGUAUCAAAUACAUCUUUGGUUUUGUUCCUACAGCACCAAUAUUGGGCUCCCUUGGUUGAAAAUUAAAAAAAAAAAGGUUGAAAACUGAAAUUUCCAGAAAAUUGCAAAACUGUGCAUUUGGCAUUCUAGGACGAAAAUUGUGUUAUUGUUGUGUAUUGGCCAAGAAUUUUUGUUUGUUUAGUUGUUUUUAAGUGUUUUCUUUCUUGUUCACUAACACUUUGAGUCUAAAAUCUAAACUUGUGCUUGAACUUGUUGGAGUUGUUGUAGUGAACUUGAAGAGUGGCCGAUUGUUGUUGUUCAUUAUGGUCUUAGCCGUGACUUUUUGGUGUUGUUGUUGUUAUAGGUGGACGUUUGGAUUGUUAAGUUCUUGGUGGUUGAUAAAGAUGUUCUUGAUGUUCUUACAACCUUCAUAACUUGAUGAAUAAAGUGACUAUUAGAUCUUAAAAAGGUGAAGCGAAAAAGGUGAAAACUUGUUAGUCUUGUAACUCUUGCAAUCAUCCAUCAACUAGUCAAUCACUUCUCAACAACUUUCCUUGUUUUAAGGACCUUGUUUUAGGGAACUAGUGCAAAAACUCAAGUCUUCCAUUCUUUUGAAUUUGAAGAGGAUUUCAAGACUUGUUUCCCUCCAAAACAAUUCCCACCAAUUCCAAAUCACCAAUUGUUUAAGACUUUCAAUUUUGAAAAAUAAUAAAAUUGUUAGGCCACAACUCAAUACGUGACUGCCACUUCAGUGUUACUAUUCACACAACAAAUUUUGGCUUAAAUUUGGAUUUUCUUAGUUUCUUAUUGUUGGUUCCUAGUUUCGUUUGUUGACUCUAAUAACUAAUCGACAAGAUAGUACUCCUCUACUAGAUUGUAAAUUAGAUUUUGAAUACGCUUCUUCGUGUUAACGUUGUUUGUUUUGUGCUUUUCUCAUUUUUAAGUCAUAGAAUCUUUUGGUUCAAGUUCGUACAUGACUUAUUUGAGUCAUUUCAAAUAAGAAUCUACUCUGACCUUGAGUCAUAAUUGGGACCAAGUAACCUCAUUGGAGUAUAAGAGAGUUAUCAACGCUUGUGAGACUAAUAGAGUGAAAACGUCAAAGUGUGAAAGUGAGGAAUUGUGGACUGUUUUGAGUCGACUAGUGGACUGAUUUUUGCUAACAUUAAUGUGUUAUUGUUUUUAUUAUAUUUUAGUGUUCUUAAUAGGUACUAUGGAAUUGGGAAAGGUGACCAUGAACGAUUUGAUGGCUGCCAUAAUGGGUAUGAAACAUGACCUUAGUAGUCGAAUGGAGAGAAUGGAAAGAAUAAUGGACCGAGUGGAAGGAAAAAAUGGAAGGGACGUAAAGCUCUCUUUUCAAGGAGCUGGAUAACUUGAUAGAGCAACCAAGCCUUCCUAAUCAAGUUCCUAUGAGUGGACAUGCUCCACAUAAGCUACAAGGUAAUCAAAAUAACUCUUACACUCUAGUGAAUGAGGCUAGUAGCCAACUAAGUGUUAAUGAUAGUUUGCCUUUAGGUGAGCCGAAUAUGCCUCCAUUUGGUGAUGAUAAUGUACAACUUGAGAUUGUCCAAACACUAGUGGAUCCAUCUAGUGUUGAAGCCAUUGUGGAAAGUGAUAGUACAUUGUCUUAUGGAAGUCAUGAAGAUCAACUUGUAUGUGAAAAUGGUGAUAUAGAACAUAUUGGCCGAUUGACUAAGGAUGACCCUCUAGUUGUUUUUAUUGUAGAUCAUGUUAGUAUAGAGGGUUUCAAUGAGUGUAAUGGUGGUAGUCUUCGGGAAAGGAAGUAUUUCCUCCACCCGUGUCCAUGGACACUCUACCCCUUUGAUCCCGGCGACCAUUUGAAAUGUGAUGUUGAUUCAUUUCAAACCAUAUCGGGAAUGAUGUGUGUGCAUUUUGUGGUCAUAGGUAUGUUGAUGCUAAGUAUUUCUUGUAUGUAAUUAUGGUUUCCCGUGAUUGGUGUGUCAUUUUUGAGAACCCGAUGGAUGUUUUGUUAUAUGUGAAAUUUGAGCCACCUUGGCAUGAUGCUAUGAUUGAUUACGCUAAUACUAACCCUCAUACCUUGAGAAACUUGUGUUUGCUUGUCCUUCCUAUUAUUUUUCAAGGUUCGGAUUUGAGGAAGAAUCCUUUCUAAGGAGGGGAGGAUGAUACGGGUCAAAGAGGUAUCUUAUCACUUGUGGAUAUGAAGACAUGAGGAAAGAAUCGAGCUUGUGGGGCUGCCUAGCCAAAGAACAAGCUUUGAAGUAUAGAGAACAGGUCCCAAUACUCCAAACCUAUCCAAGAAGACAAGCCCCUUUGUUUGGGCUCAUUAAGGGCCUUUUGGUCAUUUAUUUAACAAGUGUUGCCCUAACCUAUAAAUAGAACAAUUAGGUCAUUUUCUCAUUUAGACUUUGAUGAUAUGUUUUGAGAGCACCAUAGAGUGUCUUGAAAGGUGGAAUCCUUGUGUUGGUAGCUUUCUUAGAAAUAUUGAUUGCUUGGGGAUUCUGGUUCCCUUGAGGUCACGUAAGAGAUAGGUUUAUGUUGUAUGUGAUAUUAAAGGUCCAAGAGUAGAAUAAGCUCUUGGGUUGUUAAUAUUACAUCUCUAUUUGUCUAUCUUUCUAUCUUUACUUUGUUCUAAUUGUUGGUGUUCUUGAUUUAGUAUUGUAACCCGUGACUUGUUGUCAUUGUUAUAUCCUUGUUGUUGUUUAUCUUAUCUUUAUAUUGUUGUUGUUAAUCUUACUUUGUGUUGGCUAUUUUGGUGUUAAAACACACCCUUUAUCUCGUCAUUGUUGUUGUUAUUGUUGAAUCCGAGUGUGGUCUCUAAACGGUCCUUGAAUCUUUGAAUUUGUGGAUUGUUUUGAGUGUGUAUUCUUGUCUUCUUGAUAAUUCCGAUAUAACACUGAACAUAAUUUACUGAACUGAACAUGGACUGAGUUACUGAAUUCCGUUGACUAACGAAAUAUUACUGAUAUCAUGAUUUUGUGAAGAUUGAAGGUGAAACCUUCUUGAAUUUGAAUCCCCAAUAGAAACCCUAGCUUGUUCUUGAGAGAAACUUGAGAGAAAAUAGUAUAUUUUGGGUGAAGAAUGACUAAAUCACGUGUUAUUGGAUUUAAUUAGGGGUAGGAAAUUGACCCUUUUAACCCUGGACACGUCAUUUAAUUUUAGUAAAAUUUUCUAAACUGGGCCCCUGGUGCGACACGGCGCUAUCGUGCGGUGUCACUGGAAUUUGACAAUUGGGAAACUGAGGGUUUGCGCGAUACAGGGCCAUAGCAUUGCCCCUUCUUUUAUGACCUGGAACUUUGGCUCGACGUGGAGGAAAUCGCGCUAAGAUACUGGAAAAGGACAAUUCUAAAUUCAAGCCCUGGCGCGACGCGCCAUAAUCGCGGACCCAUACUGGAAUUCUCUAAAUGCCAUUUUGUCUUAUGGUGCGGUGCACCACUGACUAAUAUGGUAUUGUUUUACGAUAGGAACUUAAAAUAGUCAUAACUUAUGACUCGGUUAUCAGAUUUGGGAGAAUUUUAUAUCGAUGGAAAGCUUAUUGAAUUUUCCACAUGACAAAAAGUGAAAAUCUUGAAAAUUCCUUGUGGAAUAACCAUCAUUCAAUUUAGAAGCUAAUACUAGACAUUCUUAAGAUAAAAUUAGCUAGGGAAAAGUGUGGGGUAUUUUACAUACCUAGACAACUGAUGAAGUUUCAAGGCAUACUCCUGAACAGACAUCCUUCCUUACUUCAAGUUCACAAACUCUUUUGAUUUUUAUUUCCUCAACUCUUGAGGAAAGAAGCGAUCCAAGAAAUCCCUAGAAAAAUCUUCCCACAUGGAAAAACUAGCAUCAACACCUUUAGUUAAUUCCCACCCUUCGUACCAUUGGUACGUUACAUUUUUCAAUUGGUAGGAAGAAAAAUCAUCAGCCUCAACCUCCAAAGCAUGCAUAAUUCAAAAAUAUCUUCUCUAUUUUAUCAACAAAGCCUUGAGGAUCCUCCUCAACCUUCAUACUAUUAAACAUAGAGGGUUCAACCUCAAAAAUUGGCCAACUCUUGUGGCCUUAGAAGAAACAAUAGAAGGAGCACCACGCUCCAAUUGAAAGGUUACUAAUUGAAUCAAGAGGUUGAUAGAGCAAUGAAACUAAGCAUUAGAAAUAUUCGUAGGUGGUGAUUGAGUAGGAGUGUCACUCUUAUAAGCAGGGUUAGUAGGGACAGGUGGAACCCCAUAAGGAUGGUCAGAUGCCGAAACCAUAGCCUGGGUCUGGACCCCAGAACUUGGACGGGCUUCAUCCAUUGGGCCCUCACUCGGGACACAAGGGGCCUGAUUAUUAGAUCUCUUUGGAGGCAUGAUCUGAAAGAUAAGAAAACUAAAAUCAGAGAAAUCCAAUACCUUAGACUCUAUAGCUUAAGAUUGAAACACAAGAAAGGCAAACAAUCCCAAAUGUCUCAUAUUUUCUCUCUUAUAAGUGUGGCGCGCUUCACACCCAUAAAAGAGACUUUACUUGACAUGACAUUGUGGAUAUCCAACUGACCAUGAACCUAGGCUCUGAUACUAACUUGACAUGACCUAAAAUCGAGCCUUGUCGUAUGGGCAUCUCAAUCCUAACUUGGGUCAAAGAUUGCCCCGCUAGCGUAACCUAACUAUCACACCAAUCCACAAGUAUCAGAUGAACUUUAACUAUAUAAUCAAGAUAGUGGAAACAUAUCUAAUAAUAAUAACUUAGACAAUGCCUAACAUCUUAUUUAUAUCAACGUACUAAUCCAGCAUACCCUAGUCUACAGUAAUCCAUAAUUCCUCUACACAAAUAUAAAGUCUAAAAUAUAUGUAUAUAUGUUGGGACAUGUCCCUGACAAUAGCCAAACACGAUCUAAGAAAAGUCUAUAAUAUAUACCAAGGACUAUAAAAUAUAUGACUCCUAAGUAUGGGAGAUCACCACUUCAAUAUCAAUAACACAAACCGCUUGAACACCUGUCACUGCGCAAGAAGAGAAGAAGAAGCUUCGACCCGUAUGUCACGUGGGAACAUAGUGUCCGGAGAUAGUUAGUGGUUAGAGCGCUAGCAUGUAACUCAAGGAUAAGGAUAAAAUAGCAUCAUUAUUCAAGACCAAGUCAUUUCAUCAUAUUCAACCAUAUUUAUAUACAUAAUCAUACAUUUAGAUCUAUAUCAAUCCAUAUCAUGUCAUGAUAAGGAACAAAAAUUAACCAUCAUUCACGAAGUACUCAAUCAAAAUACAUAAAGUGGAGGACUCCGACCAUCUACUCUUAUAGAUCCAAACAUUUUUUAUCAGGCAAAGGACUUUAACUGCAUUUACCUUUUAUUAGACGAGGGACUCUAACCACAUAUACUUUCAUUAAGCAUGGGACUCUAGCCUCAUGGACUUUAUUUAGGAAAGGGACUCUAACCUCAAUCCAUAGUAGAUAAGGCACUCUAACCCCAACCGGGGGUAAUUAGGAAAAGGCUCUAACCACAAGCAAUUUCAUUAUGCAAGGGACUUCAACCUCAAUCAUUUUCAUUAAGCAAGGGACUCUAACCACAAGCCACUUAGUAGGCAAGGUACUAUAACCACAAGACGUCGCGACUAUCAUUAGUCAACAUUGGGACUCUAACCCUUUAUUUAUCAUCACCAUCUAUUCAAUUCAACUCUUAGGGACUUCAACCCAUUUAACCAUUCCAACAACAUACAAGGCGAUAAGGUCUUCAUGGAAGAAUUUGUCAUCCAAGAACUUUUGAUAGGCCAUUGUCUUAAUUCAAUUCAUCAUUCAAUUCAAUUUAUGUCCAUCAAGACCCUUACGAACCAUUCAUUCCUAAUCAAUAAUAUUAUACCACACUUUUGUUCAACACAUUUCAAUUUACUUUUUAGGGACUUUAACCCUCUUAGCCAUCACGUCAUUAAGAUAAUAAAUUAAUUCAUUACAUGACUAUCAAUGUCUUUACAAUACCAUUUACCAACCAUUCAUUCUCAUUGGGCCAUUUCCCUAGUUAAAAACAUCAUCAACAUAUGACUAGAUAUUUCACUUAGACAUUUUUACAAACACCUUGUGUGCAUGACUUUACCAAGGCCAAAAUCAAUGUAAAAGUCAUCAAUAUUAUGGUUUCUCAAGACCUAUUUGUUAAACCACAAACAAAAAGCACCCACAUGUGCAAAUCAAAAUUAAUAUCAUAUAAAAUCAUAAGUCUAAGCAAGAGCAAACAUUACUCAUCACUAGGUAUCAAAACACUUAACAUUUGAUUUCAAAAUCAUCAUUUAUUGUUUGAAAUACAUGGUUUUUGAGUUAAAAAAAGGGAAAUAUUUACAUGCCUUAAAUUUGAUGAUCCACCAAGAAACUUGACUUCUCUUUGCCUUUAGAUAAACACCCUUGAAACCCUAGCCUUCAAAUUUUCAAAGAUGUGCUUGAGAGAGUGUUUUAGAAUGUUUGAUCAAACAAAACAGAUGUUCAGGAGGACAAAUUACUUUAUAUAGUGAGGGGACUUAAGGAUUUUAGGGUGGGAAAUGACCAUAGAACCCUUGACUAAAAGCUGGAAAUUAAACUCAAAGUACGGUAUGACUUACUUAAGUCAACUAUACCUUAGGGUAUGAGUGGUACCCUAAAUCUCACCCUAGGCUUCACCUAGGACCCAUAUACUACCCAAGAUACAACUUCACACCCUAGACUCUUAUCCAAAGGGUACGAUUGGUACCCUAAAUUGUACCCACAAUAGUGUGCACUAGAUCAAGACAAUACUCUUUAUAACUUGUAUUGGUAUGACUCGCACCCUAAUGUACUACCAUGGGGAGGACAAUUCAUACCUUGGACAAUGUGUAACCCCCAAGACACUGCCUAGGGUACAAGAAGGGUCACCAAAGUCAUAUACAAGGGUAUGAUUGGUGCCCUUACUAGUACCUAAUCAUGAGGCUUCAAUUAAGGGAAUUUUCUAAGGGUUUAAAGCCUAGGUUUUUCAUGACUCCUUGUACAUGAUAUUCAAAACUACAAUAACUAAGGGAUAUCAAGCUGCUAAGUCAUACUAUUGAAGUUUGAGACAAAAUGACAAAAAUCAAGAUAAGAAGACGUGUGGUCAUCUUCGUGAACCAUUUUGAAUUCAUGUCGAGGCAGUUACUUACAAAAGUCAUUCACCUUAUAAAGAGACUGUUGGAGAAGUACAUGGAUAGGAAAAAUUACUUACACAUUGUGUUUAUUGAUCUAGAAAAUAUAUAUGAUAAAGUCCUCGUGAAGCUUCUACAGAGAUUUCUAGACUCUAACAGUGUACCAGUGGUUUACAUUAGGGUAACUAGGACAUGUAGAAGGUGCCAAGACGCUGGUAGGAAUAAUGGGAGGUGACUUCAAACACUUUUUGGUCAUUAUUGGAUUGUACCAGUAUUCAAUCCUAAGCCCAUUUUUGUUUGUUUUAGUGAUAGAUGAAUUUGCACAACAUAUCUAGGGGUAGGAGCCAUAGUGUAUGUUAUUUUUCAAUGACAUAGUAUUAUUGAUUGAUGUGACAAGCAAGGGAUUUAAUGAGAUGUUGGAAGUUUGGAAACAAGCCUUAGAGUCGAAAAUUUUAGGUUAAGCAUGACCAAGACUGAGUACCUGAAGUGCAAGUUUAGUGACAUGGCACACGAUGCAGAGUUGAAAGUGGAGAUUGAUACACAAGCUAUACUCAAGAGAGUUUUAAGAGUUUUGAGUCCAUAAUAUAAGGUAAAGAGGAGAUUGAUGAGCACUACUAAAAAAGGCCAAAAAGCGACGCAUAAAAAAAGCGACCAACUAUGUCGUUUUAAAAAGCAAUACUGUCCGUUGCUUUUUUAGUUUAAUUUUAAUUUUUAUUUAUUUUUUAUUAAAAUCGAUGACCAACAUCAUAAUAUUCGUCACUUUUUUUCGCGGAUUAUUGUGCCAACUAAUUAACAAAUAAUUUAUAAUUUUUUUAAUAAAUGCGAGGGAUACCGUCGUAAUUUAUUUUAAAAUAAUAAUAAUUAAAUUUUUGAAAAGCGGCGUAGUCCGUCGAUUUUUAAAUAUAUUCUUUAUUUUUGUUUAUUUUUAUUAAAAGCGACGGACAAUGUCGUUAUAAUUUUUAUUUUUUAAAAUAUUAAUUCUAGAAAAACGACGCUAUCCGUCAUAAUUUGUAAUUAUUUUUAUUUUUUUAUUUUUUUACAAAAAGUGACGAAAAAUGUCGCUUUUUUAUAAUUAAAUAAUAAUUAAUUUUUUGAAAAGCGAUGUUGACCGUCGAUAUUUGAUAUUUUUAAUUUAAUAAUGAAUAAUUUUUAUAUUUUGAAAAAUUAAAUUAAAUAUAAAAAUUUUGAAAAAGCGAUGGCCAACGUCAAAAUUAAGUUAAAUUUUUAGUCCACAUCGUAUUAGGGUAAUAGACCCAUUUUUUUUCUCUUUCUCUCUCUUUCUUUCUUUCUCUCCCUCGUCUUCAAUGCCGUUUCUCUCUCUCUUUCUUCCUUUCUCCGAUUAGUCACAGUCGAAGCUCUCGUCAAUAAGGUAAAUUAUUAUUAUUUCUUAAAUAUGUUCAUAUAUAACUCAUUCAAAAGCAUAAGGUUGGUCAUGCAACUUUUAAGUACUUAUUGUUCACAUGCAGUUUUGGGUUAUUUCCAUGUGUGGGUUUUGAGUAAUUUUUCUUAUUUUGAUCAUUAUUGUUGUUCUGUUUACUCGAUCAAGCUCAAGAAAUCAAGUUCUUUUUUUUUUAUGUGAUUCAGCUUGUUUUGGGUGUUUUUAGCGAUUUUCUUCUGUGGGUAUUGAGUAAUUUUUAGUGAAGUUUGCUUAUUCUGAUCCUUAUUGUCAUUUUUUAACUUGAUUAAACUCAAAAAUCAAGCGUGAUUUGACAUUAUUUGGGGAUUUUUUUACUUGAUUAAAGUGAAGAUCAAGUGUGAUUCAGUUUGUUUUGGGUGUUUGUUAGAUGGGUUUUGCUUAAGUGUUGGUAAAUCCAACUUAUUUAAAUUGGCAGUAAGGUAAAUUGAGAAUCAAUUUUUUAAAAAGUAGUCCCGUAGACCAGUGGGUUAAAAUCUACCAUGAGAUUGCAAGUUUGAUUCCCCAUAAUUGCUUCAUAUGUUGUUUCCUUAUCAAAGAAAUUUGUGUUUCCCACCUGGAACUAAAAAUUAGAAUAUCACUAUGGUUUAGCUAAAAUUGAGAGAAUAAUCUCGUAUCUUAAUAAGUGGGUGUAUAGUGCUAGGUUCAUAUUGAUGGAUCAAUGUUUAGUGUCACUCAAGAUUAGAGUAUUCUGAAUUAUGAGGGAGUAGAAGGAUGUGUGUUAUUUAAAAGGUGUUGGUAGGUUCAGUUACUAUUCGUCUUGAGAUAAGCAGUUGAAUGCUAGAUAAGAAUCUCAUUAAGUAGACUUUGUUGUGAUAGUUAUUUAGAAUUCACAUUAUAUAUGGGCAUAACAACUAUAAACCAUGGUAAUUCAUGUUGUGCAUCCAAUUUAUUUAGCCCAGAAUAUAUGUUUUAUUUGCAUGAACAAGAUAAAUUUGAAGAACAUUAGAUGUUGAUUAGAGCUAUGAUUUUGCUAAUCCUAGAUGAGUUCACUUAGUUGAUGCUAACCUUUUGCUUUAUUUGUGAUAUAAUAUUUCUAUUAUGAACAGGUUGGGUUGCUAUUGCUUUAAAAAAGGUUGGUUGUUAUUUUUUGAUGAUCGCUUGCCUCAAUCUCUUCAAAUUAGGCCAAACAAAGGUAAGUUUAUUCUUUCUAUUUUCUUAUAGUGAAUUUUGUAUGUGUAAUGUAAUGGUGGGAUUAUUUGCUGUAGAAGGAUUCUAAAUCCAUAGGUUUUGUGAUGAUUACUUAGUGUGAGAGGGACAUGUGACGCCUCUACUUAUUAGCUUUAUUAAAUUUAUUGAAUUAUCUUACUUAUAUUGUAAUUGAGAAUGUGAACUAGUGAUUAGAAAAAUGUUAAAUGUAGUCACUUGAAAUGUGAAGUUAUGUUUUGAAAAUGAUUAAGUGUAGUAACCUGAAAUUAUGAACUUGUGAUAUGAAAAUGCUUGAGUGUAGCUACUUGAAACGUGAAGUUAAUGACUUUAAAAUGCUUAGUUACUUGAAAUUGUGAACUUGUGAUUUGUAAAUGCUUAAGUCUAGCUACUUGAAAUGUGAAGUUAAUGACUUGAAAAUGCUCAAGUGUAGUUACUUGAAAUUGUGACCUUGUGACUUGAAAAUGGUUAAGUGUAGCUACUUGAAAUUGUAAUUUUGUGACUUAAAAAUGGUUAAGUGUAUCUAUUUGAAAUGUGAAGUUAAUGACUUGAAAAUGUUGAAGUGUAGUCACUUGAAAUUGUGACUUUAUGACUUAAAAAUGGUUAAGUGUAGCUACUUGAAAUGUGAAGUUAAUGACUUGAAAAUGCUUGUGUUGUUACUUAAAAUUGUGAACUUGUGACUUGAAAAUGCCUAAGUGUUGCUACUUGAAAUGUGAAGUUAAUGACUUGAAAAAGCUUAAGUGUAGUAACUUGAAAUUGUGAUUUUGUGACUUAAAAUUGGUUAAGUGUAGCUACUUGAAAUGUGAAGUUAGUGAGUUGAAAAUGCUCAAGUGUAGUUACUUGAAAUCGUGACCUUGUGACUUGAAAAUGGUUAAGUGUAGCUACUUGAAAUGUGAAGUUAAUGACUUGAAAUUGCUCAAGUGUAGUUUCUACAAAUUGUGAACUUGUGACUUGAAAAUGCUUAAGUGUAGCUACUUGUAAUGUGAAGUUAAUGACUUAAAAAUGCUCAAGUGUAGUUACUUGAAAUUGUGACUUUGUGACUUAAAAAUGCUUAAGUGUAGCUACUUGAAAUGUGAAGUUAAUGACUUGAAAAUGCUCAAGUGUAGUUACUUGAAAUUGUGACCUUGUGACUUGAAAAUGCUCAAGUGUAGUUACUUGAAAUUGUGACCUUGUGACUUAAAAAUGGUUAAGUGUAGCUACUUGAAAUUGUGACUUUGUAACUUUAUUUUUAUAUGUUUUAAUGUAAAGUUGCAUAUUAUUGAAUCUAUAUAUUUUUAUAGAUAGAUCGUCAUUUAUGGAUGUAUGAUAUGGACUAUGAAAAUGUUGGUGGUUUAAAACCCCAAUAUCUUGAUAGCGUUAGAGGUUUUAUCGAUUAUGCGAUGUCACUAGAUCUAUUUCAAAAAAAUGGAGUGGUUAGGUGUCCUUGUAUUUCAUGUAGCUGCUUGAAGUUUUGUCAACCAGAUAUAGUUAUGACUCAUCUCUAUCGUAAUAGAUUAAGCCAAGAUAAUUUAUGUGGGUUGAUCACGGAGAAAUAGAUAGUUUGAAUGGUAUAUUUUAUAAUUCAUUGCCUGUGGUAUGAAUGUGACAUGCUUGUACAUGGUCAACAUACUAGGAUUCAAUAUGCCAAAGUUCAACAUAGGGUGUAACAUGAUAGGGUACAACAUGAUGAUAGGAUUUAUGAAAUGGUCAAUGAUGCUUUUGGAAUUGGGGAUGGGAUGGAACCCAAACAAAAUUUAGAAGAAAAUUCCAAUGAAGAAGCAAGAGGUUUCUAUCAACAAUUAGAAGAGGAUAGUCACCCACUAUGUGAAGGGAGCCUGCAUUCUGCUUUAUCUGUUGCAGUUAGAUUAAUGAGUAUCAAAUCUGAUUAGAAUGUUGCUCAAGCUGCUAUGGACUCUAUGCUUGGUCUUUUGGGUGAAUACUUAAUCCAGAGUUGAACAUACCUCAGAAUUUUUAUCAAGAAAAGAAAUUGUUUUCCAAGUUGGGAUUAUCAUAUAAUAGAAUCCAUUGUUGUAUAAAUAGUUGUAUGUUGUUCUAUAAGAAUGAUGCUGAAUUAGAAAAUUGUAAGUUUUGUAGACAUGCUCGUUAUAAGCGAACUCCCGGUGGAAAGAUAGUUUCCAUUAAGCUGAUGCAUUGUUUACCUCUUAUACCUAGGCUAAAGAGGUUGUAUGCUUUGAUGAGUUCUGCCCCACAAAUAAAAUGUUACCAUGAAAAUAAAAGGCCACCAGGUUUCUUGUCUCAUCCAUUAGAUGAAGAAGCUUGAAACUAUUUUGAUAGAACUUAUCCUGAUUUUUCCAGUGAACUAAGAAAUAUUAGAUUGGGGUUGGGUUCAGAUGGUUUCACACCAUUCUCUAAUUCUAUCACACCUUAUUCUUGUUGGCCAAUAUUUAUUACUCCAUAUAAUCUCCCACCUGAAAUAUGCAUGCCAAGUCCCUACAUAUUUCUAAGUUGUAUUAUUCCAGGUCCCUGCAAUCCAAAAAGUUUGAUCGAUGCAUAUCUCCAGCCAUUGAUAGAUGAAUUACUGCAAUUAUAGCAUGAAGGUGUAGUGACAUAUGAUAUAUCAACUAAGCAAAAUUUUGUUAUGCGUGCCAAUUUAAUGUGGACUAUUAGCGAUUUUCUUACAUAUGGGAUGUUGUCUGGUUGGAUGACUAGUGGAAAGUUAUCUUUCCCGUACAACAACAACAACAUCUCCAGUGUAUUCCCAUAUUGCAUGGAAAAUAGUAAAGCAUUCACUUUAAAGUAUGAUAAAAAAAUUCUUGGUUUGGUUGUGUAACGCCCAAAAAUCUAAUCUCGAGACGUCACACGGUUCUCAAGGCUACGAGUAGUCCCAAUCUAACCCUCUUAGCCUGAUACUAGAUCUGAACCUAACUUUAAAAUAAUCUAAUCAAGAAUAUUACUGUAUAAUAGAAAAAACUAAACUGAAUAAACUGUAGAUACUAUCUGAAUAACAAAUACUGAAAGUUUGUAAUUAAACUCGUAGUUCAACAAACCUCUCCUACUAAAGAACUAGAGAGCCAUUGGCACAGACCCCUAACUAACUCGGGCUAAACUGAAAAUGAUAACUCAAUUACUACGAAAGUUGGAAAUCUAAAGAAGUAGGCUCUCGAAUCAUGAGAAAUCACUAACUGUGAGAGCGUAGAUAAAGAUGGUCGAACUACUCACACUGUUGAUACUGAGCUCCUGAACCUACAUUAUAAGACAAUGUAACACAUAGACAUACAUGUGGAUCAACACUUUAAGGAUGUACUGAGUAUAUGGGGGUGUAAUACAUAAGUAAAGAUCAUUAUAAAUAGAAAGUAAAUGCAUAUGGAUGUAUAUGACUCACAUAAGCUUGAUUAUCCAAAAUAUCGAAAUAUAAAAACAUGUAUAACAAAUCAUACUUAUAAAUCUAGUGAGUCAUAACACUUAGUCUUAUAAAAGCUUUUCUAUCAUUCUUUUCUUUUGAAACUUAGAAGCUUUGGGAGCUUUGGAAAUCUUGAAACUUUGGGACUUAGGGAGUUUCAGACUCAAGGAGUUUCUUCUAACCGACAUAAACCGUGUGAGCUAACAUGGAGUCCAACGUCUUGCCCACAUUGGGGAGAGUUGUUCUACCCUUGCCAUCGGAAUAGAACCUUAACUUUAGUGAUUACUAUCUUAGCCCACUAUGGGAAAAUUAGAAACCUACAGUGGCAUGCAGUUCUGGGGCAUGAGACCUUUGAAUCAUACCUAACUCGGUGCUAAAUACUACUCCCAUACUUAUUGCUCAAAACUUUUAAGAAAUCCACCUUAAAACAGCACAAGGGUUUAUAAUGAAAACCAAUUAUACUUCUCUUUACUUUAAAUCAUAAACUAUAUGAAUAAUGUGGAUUCCUAUCUUUGCUUGGAUCAAUAGAUCAACUUUCUUUAUCAAAAUCUAAAAAUAGCUAAUCAUGGGAUGCUUAAAACAUAGUCAUUCUUGAAAUGUCAACAUACAAACUAGGGCUUAAUGACCCAUGCUUCAAUUUCAUGUCAAACACCAUAAGGUUCAUGCUUGAUAAUACAUAUAUUCAUAAUUCAACUUAAAAUCUGGAAAAUAUGAUCAUACACAUUAAUUUUUGAAAGUAGACAUGUAAUUCAAUAUCCAAAUCACUUAAAAUCUCAAAAUCAUGCAAUUAGCAACAUUGGGUAUAAACCCUAACUUAAAUUUCAUGGGAAAUCAUACAAAACUCAGUAAUUUGUAAUUUAAAGUAAGUUUUUGGUCACAAGGAUGAAAGAUUUAUCCUUGUUCAAAACCCCACAUACCUUGGAUGAUGAACUAGAUGAACAACCUUGCUUUUGAGACUCUAUUAGUGCUAUUGAAUAAUGGUUCUUAGAAUUCUUGUUUUGGGAAUCUUGAAUCUUGAAUUAAUUUAGAAAAAGAAUGGUGAAAUCUUGGAAUUUUUAAGGUUGAUUGUUGAAGCUUAGGGUUUUUGGUUAAGAGAAAUCUUGAGAAAUAUAUCAUAAGAUGCUUGUAAUAGCUCUAAAUCUUGUGUUUGGACGGAAUUAGGGGCUGGUAAAAGUCCAAAAUACCCUUUUUUAACUUCUAAAUGAAACUGAAAAAAAGGAACUGGGGUCCCAAUUUAAUGGGCCACCGCGACGCUCCACUAUCGCGGUGGCUCACUGGAAACUGACGAAUAGGAAAUUGGGGUCCUCCGCGAUGCAGAGCUAUCACAUUGUCCAACUGGAUUUUGACACUUGGGACUUGGAACUUCAACGCGAUGUGCCACCAUUACGGUGCCCUAUAGAAAUGCCUUUUUGGACUUUGGCGCGAUGUGCCACUAUCGUGUUAGGCUAUUGGAAUUCGACAAUUAGGAAAAUAGACUUUUCUGUGAUGCACCAAUAUCGUGGAGGUCUAUUGGAAAUUGAAAAAUGGGAAUUUAGACCUCACCGCGAUGCGCUAACAUCACAUUGGUCCACCGAAAAGUGACAAUUAUGAAAUUGUCCUUCACCGCGAUGCGGUGACUGCCCAGUUGGCACGCUGUCAACCUAAAAAUGCUCUAACUUCUUCACCAAGUGUCAAAUUUGGGCGAAUUUGGUAUCGAUGGAAAGCUUAUUUAUUUUCCCAUAUAAUGAAAAGUUGAAAUCUAGAAAAUUUUAUGCAAAAGAAAUAUUAAUCAUUUUGAAAGGCAUCCCUUAACAUUCUAUGAACAAAUUUAAGCUAGAAAAAAUUUAGGGUAUUACAGAUUGUCACCGCCAGUUCUUACCAAUGGAACACAAGUAUAGAAGGAUGAAAAAUGCAUUCAGAAAGAAUAAUAUUGAGAAUGAUCUUCCACCUCCAUUAUAAUCAGGACAUCAGAUUUAGGAGAGAGUUUGUAAUUUUCCUAAAGUUACAGAUGGUCCACCUGCUACACCUCCCGGAUAUGGUGUUGAACAUAAUUGGACCAAACAAAUCAUAUUUUGGGAGUUGUCGUAUUGGGGGGACAAUAAACUAAGACAUAAUCUUGAUCUAAUACACGUUGAAAAAAUUAUUUUGAUAAUUUAUUCAACACAGUCAUGGAUAUUAAGGGCAAGACAAAAGAUAAUUCAAAAUCUAGAAUGGAUAAAAAAGAGUAUUACAAGAGAAAGGAAUUGUGGUUAAAGGAAAAAAAUGGUAAAUUAUUUAAUCCCAAGGUAAGUUUUUCAUUCACAUUAGAUGAGAAAUGGUAAAUAUGUGAGUGGGUUAAGAAUUUGAGGAUGACCGAGGGCUAUACUUUGAAUUUAGAAAAAAUGAGUAGAUAUGGAAGAAGGGAAGUUGAUUGGUAUGAAAAUCCAUGAUUUUCAUGUUUUUAUGGAAACCUUGAUUCCUAUCGCAUUUAGCCACCUUCCUGAGAGUAUAUGGAAACCAAUCACAGAGAUAAGUUUGUUCUUCAAAGAUUUAUAUUAGGAAAAGUUGUUGGAGAGUAGCUGGGACAGAAUGGAGCAGAAUAUUCUUGUCAACACUACUAAGUUGGAGAAGAUCUUUCCAUGUGACUUUUUUGAUGUGAUGGAGAAUCUUCCAAUUCACAUCAUAGAAGAGACACAUCUUGGAGGCCCAGUUCAAAUGAGGUGGAUGUAUUCAGGAAAGAGGUAAAUUUUUUAAAAUUAAUGUCAUCAUUUUCUUAAAAGAAUUACUUUUAUCUACCUAAGAUAAAAUUAUGCAAGAAAAUUAGCGAGUGAAAAUAAACUAUUAAGCAAAGGGGAAAGAUUGAAGGAUCGAUUUGUGAAGCUUAUCUUGCAAAAGAAACUGCUCAUUUUUGUUCUUACUGCUUUGGGGAUGAAGUGUCAUGCAUGAGAAAUAGGUCCAAUCGUAAUUAUGAAGGUGGUGGUGAUCCUGUGUUUUCACCUAUAUCGAUUUUUAACAAUUCGGGUAGAGGAUUUAAAAGUUAUUAUGCACGAGCCCUUACUGGGAUGGAAAGAAAAUCUAUUGUGAUACAUGUUUUGCUCAAUUGUCCAGAGAUUCAACCAUAUCUUGAGUAAGUGUUAAUAAUGUUAUCGAAUUAUAUUAAUUUACUAAGGAAACUUCACGAAUAGAAAAAUCUUAAUGAUGUAUACUUGACAGUUUAUUCAUUGGGGAAUGGGGUAAUGAUGCCAUAUAUAUGAGGUUUUCUGAUUGGCUGGAAGAAUACGUAAGUAUGAUAGAUCAUAGUGCAUUUAUAAAAUUAUAUAUAGGUCAUUGAAUAAACAUUAUAUUUUUAUUUAACGAUAUAUAGAUUUUGGAUGAACAUAGUACUGUCGAACAUUUGCCAUUGGUGAGAGAUAUUAUAUUUAGUCCUGCAACUCAAAUUUGGACAAUGGAUAAAUGUUGUGUGAACGGUUUCAAGUUUCAAACUGAAAAAGUUUCUAAGUAUAAGAAAACUAAUAAUGGUGGCGUGUGUGUUGAAGGUGAUGUUGAUGGUAAUGAUCAAAUCAUUGAACAUUUUGGUGUCAUACAAGAGAUAUUAGAAGUCAGGUAUCCUGGUUGGCCAAAAAAGAAGAUAAUUCUAUUUCGGUGCAAGUGGUUUGAUCCAUCAUAUAGAGGUACCAAAGUGAAUCAACAACAUAAUAUAAUUGAAGGUAAGCACACGAGGCAAUAUAAUCGCUAUGAUCCCUUUAUCAUUGCACAAAAUGUCAGGCAGGUAUAUUAUGCUAUAUAUCCAUUACGCAGAGAUAAAGCAAAUUGGUAGGUGGUUAUAAAGAAUAAGUCUGUGGGGAGAAUUGAGAUUGAGAAUGUAUCAGAUAUGGCAUACCAGAACGAAGUCGCAGUUGUUGAUCAAAUAGUGGAUGAUGAGUUAGAAAAUAAUCUAGAACAUUCUCAACGCAUAUUAGAAGAAGUUUAUAAUGAUGAGAUCAUUGACAUCACAAAUACUACGGAAGAAAUAGACAAGGGAAAUAAAUCAUUUUGGGAGGAUGAAUGGGACCAUGAAAAUGAAACAACAGAUGAGGAAGAAUGGGAGGAUGAUGGAAAUGAAACAAGCGAUGAAGAUGAUUGAGAGAAUAUAUAUUAGCUUCAAAACUUCUAAGUAUGAAGUUGUUAGAGGUGAUCCAAGGAAGACAUAUAGAGAACUGCUAUUAGUGUAGACCGUAUUAUUCAAUCUAGAACUAAAAAACCAAAAGCUUAAUAUCAUUAAUAACAAAAGUAGAUGAUAAUAAAGCUUUAGCUAUCUCUAACUAUGUCGUAGUUCAUAUUUAGAUUGGAUAGCUAUACCUUGUCAGUCAAAUUGAGCAUGUAUCUUUACGUUAUGCUCUCUGUUCUGUAAGGAUCAUGAUAACCUGGAGCAAUCAAAAGAUUUAAUGCUUUCAUUCAUUCUCUUAUAUCCUCUAUGAUAAUGAUAAUUUUUUGAUAGAAAAAUAUACAUGUUGUUCAUAGAUGAUUGUAAUUUCUUGAUGGAAAUGACUUUCUUCAAGUUAGAAUGGCAUCUUUAAUAUUUUUAGAUAUUUCCUUUUUUCUUUUCCUAAUUGUGUGUGGCAUGUUUCUAUUUAUCUGAAAGAUGCAUUGUACCACGCUGAUUUCAACUUGAACUGGUAAUGAGUAUCGAAAGAAUUUUUGGGAUCUUGGAUAUAAGUUUCUGAAAUACAUUUUUGAACUUUCUCUUUUGAGCUGUAAUAAUUUAAUAUCAGAGAAGCAGUUUACAUAAUGCUAAAUCCGCUGUCUCAUCUUUCACCCCCAUAUUGUCUCUGCUUAAUCCAGUGAAAUCACUCUGAACUUCUUAUUUCUGAAACUUGUAAAUUCCAUAUAUUCAAAGGGUUGUUAAUGACUCCAUAACAAUAAACUCGCAUUAUUAUAUUAAAAAGUUAUAUUUAUGGGAUGCUAGCAUUACUGGUAGAAUACAAAUUGAUUUUUAUAUGUUUUAAUGUCAACUUGUAUAUAGAUGACAUCCGGUAGUAGCAGUGAUCAGCCUUUUCCUGAUAAGAAUUCAAAGUCAAUUGCUAAAAAGAAAUCUAGGACGCUUAUAAAUCCUGAUGAUAUUCCUGGUUGACUUUCUUCACAGCCACAGAUGCACAUUUCUUCAUCAGGGAGGUCUUAUGUUCCAUUUGGCACUGGUAAUCCUGUAGAUUAUCAUGGUCCCAUAAAACAAUGAUAGGUGUGUAUUUUUUAUGCUCUACAUACAUUUAGGCCUCCUACAGAUAUAGGGACUUUGAGAUUAUCAUCUAAUACUCCAUCCCCUCGCAAUUCAUCCCUCCACCUCUCAGGAUUGCAGUUGAAAGACAGCUAUGAAUUGGAUGUACAAACAUCUACUCCCCCAGUUAAUGAACCUUAGGUACUCCUGAGAGUAGCAUCCAUAUUUGGAUCUGCACCUCCACCUAUAAUAGAUGACACUGAUGCUUAUUUGAUUGGUCUCAUUUCUAGAGAUAAGGACAGGCUUGGUAGAGUCUUCAUCGAUCCUGAUGGAUCUACGUAAGUUUAUUUUUUAACUCAUAAGUUAAUUUUUUCAUUAAUAAAAUAUUCAUGCUCACAUAUUUAUUUUGUUCUUUUACAGGUGGCAUUCUACAUCAAAAGAAGUUAAUAAGACAGUAAGGGAAAGCAUUAGGAGGCUUUUUUCACAACCUUGGCACAUUUGAUCAGAGAUUCCAGAAGACCAUAGACAAGCCAUAUUUGAAGAGUUCAAGGUAUACUAGAUUUAACUAUUAUUUAGUUAACUUUAAUAGUAAUAUAUAUUUGUAUAUGCGUGUUUAUAUAUAUAUAUAUAUAUAUAUAUAUCAUAUAACACUACUCAAUUGAUUUUUAGACAAUGUGUACUUGGUUGAAAAAGGACAAUAGAGUUAUAUCCACUAUUUUUUAAAAGAACAUUGGUGCAAAGCUCUGAAACUGGCUUGAACGUGUUAGUCAUAUAGGAAAUAUUUCACAAAGGCUUCUCAAAGACGUAUAUGAUGAUUUGUGUAUUUAUUGGGAUUCUCCUAAAUAUAAGGCACUCUCUGAGCAAAACAAGAAAGCUAAAGCCAGAUUAAAAGGUGCCUCAUUGGACACCGGAGGUGCAAAGAGUGUCGGGGUUAUAGUUCGAGAAAUGGUAAGUAGUAACCUUAGGUUUUAAUUUAUGUGUUUAUGUAAAGUUCAUUAAAUAUUACUUAAUUACACUUAUUUACUUUUUUGUUUGUAGGAGAAGGACUUGGGUCGCAAACUGACUCAACUUGAGGUCUUCAGAAGAACACAUCUGAAGAAAAAUACAAAUAAGUCGGACCUGAAUGUGUGGGUUGAUCCCAGGGAUGAAAAUGUAAAUGUAAGACUUAUAUUUAUAUUUUACUCUGUUAUACUUUUAUAUUGAAUUAGGUAUGUCAUUCUCCUAUUGUAUACCUUUUGUUAUCGACUAGCAAGUAACCCAUAUGGUAUCCUCAAUCUUGUUUUAGUGCCUUUCUCAUGAAACAUAUCGUGCAAUAAUCUUGACUCUUUUAAGAAGUCCACUAGCUAUAUCAUUCACUAGUAAGUGCUUCUUGUUAGCAACACCAUGUUCUUAUCGAGUCCAGUAGUCCACCAAAAACAGAAUGAACAAACAUAUUGAUUCUUAAGGUGUCUUUUUUAAUAUGUAUUGUUGUUGGUUCUUAUAGUAUUUCUAGAACCUUUGUUAUGUUGUCUAAAGUGCUAGUUAAGAAACACAAGAGCUGAAUAAAAUAAGUUACUUAUCGAGUCCAAAUGAUUUAUAAUUUUCAGCUUAUUUCAUUCUAUCUUUUUUUUUGUAUUCAAUAUGUAAGCAAAAAUUAUUAAAAUUUACGUUAUAUUUUACCUUACUUAGUAAUAUUAUAAUUCACUAAUGUGUUUUUUUAAUAUGCAGAAUGAAUCUAUACGCUACUUGUCUGAAUUUUAUUCAACCGAGCCUACACAUGAGGAAUCCAUUAAAAUUUGGACCAAAAAUGUAGCGGAAGGAAAAAAGAGGAAAAACUAUGGGUUUAGUUCUUGAAAUAAUUUACGACGUCUUCGUGCUGAAUGAGUUGGUAUUGGUUUCUCGCGCCGGGAUGAAGCGAUUGACGGUGUUCAGCUUGCUGCUAUGUCGCAGCAUAUUACAAAUCUUACACGUUUCUUGGCACAGUCCGUUUCUCAAAAUAAAGUCGCGAUCAAGACUGUCGAGGAACUCAAGAAACAAUUGGUUAGCAUGAGUCGUCGUCAUCACUGUUCUCCAUCUCCAGAUUCAAGUAGCAAAGAAGAAACAAGAAGUGAUGAGUUUGUUGACACUACUCCUUAGUGUUAGUUGGAUUUGCAUUUAGAAUAUUUUUAGAUAUUAAUUCUUGAACUUAACUUUUAACUUUUGAAUUAAGAAGCUUAAAUACUUAAGUAUUUUGGAUAUUUUUUAAUAACUUGUUAAGUGUUUUUGAAUAUUCAAUAAGUGUUUUGGAUUGUGUUGAAGUGUUGAUGAUUUGAAUUUCUUAAAUGUUUUGGUGAUGUAGUUCGUUGUAUGAUUAGUAAUGUGUGUUGCAUAACGUAUACAUCAAAUUGUAUUUAUUUGGUAGGUGGGGUGCAUAAAAUGCAAUGGACAGGGUCUCUUUUGUCCGUCGCUUUUUUAAAUACAUUUUCAGAAAUACGAUGCUUUGCGUCGCUUUUUAAAUCAGUAAUUUUUUAAAAGAUAAAUGAUGAUGUCGUCGCUUUUUUAUUCAUUAUGAAAAACAAUAAAGUGACUACAAACGUCACUUUUUAAAUCAUUAUGAAGAACAAAAAGUGACGACCAACGACGCUUUAAAAAAAAUUAUUUUUCUCAAAUUACGACAAAAAAUUUCCUGGAAAAAAUUAUUUUUUCGAAUAAAAUGAUGAUGUCCGUCAUUUUUUGUUCAUCAUGUGCUCUUCACAUGAAUAACAAAAAACGACACACAAUGUCGCUUUUUCUAAAAAUAACUAAUAUAAUUAUUUUCCUAAAAGCGACUUUGUUCAUCAUAAUAAAAGCAAUGCAGGCCAUCAUUUUAAAAAAAAAAUGCUCAUUUUUGAGACGCAAAAAAGUUUCCAUUGGUUUUGUCCAAAAAAGCGACGCUGGUCAUCGCUUUUUGACAUUUUUUUAGUAGUGGAGCAUAUCGUACACCAUAUUAGAGUAGGGCGGGUGAAAUGAAGGCUCAUUUUUGUGUCCAGUGUGAAAAGAAUGUGUCAUCAAGUAGUAAGGAUAAGUUUUAGGAGUUUUACAUUCUCAUAAGAGUUCUUAAACCUCUUGAUAAAGUUAGCAUGCAGUUUUGUUAGCCUCUUUGUCUGUUGUAUAAAUUAUUGCUAAUAUAAAUUUGGUAGUCCUAUUUCUCCAGUAUGAAUUUCAAUAGUUUCAUGCUGUUGAGUUUAACAACCCAAUGCUGUCACCUAUUUCUUCAUACUGCAUUUAGGGUGUUUGAACUUCGAUAUUGCUGUCAUCAGUGGUCAUUCUACUUUAAUCUUGCAUUAGAAAAAUUAUACUCAUGUUGCUUGCUGCUUAUUUUAGGAUUUUACAAUGCGUUCGUGUGAUUUUGAUGCCGCGCAAACAUGUAUGUUACAUUUAUUUGAGAAGAGGAUGGAACACAUUUUUGCUGAUAUUGAAGUUCAUCUUGCAUUGACUCCUCUUCAACCUGUUGUAUAUUGUGGUUUGUAUCUAGAAUGGGUGUAAUAGGUCUGUCAAAAUUUUAGUUGGAGCUCAUGCCUGUACACCCCUCUUUCAUUUAUAAGUAGUGUUUUUUGUGUGCAUUAUUAAAUUUAAAAAGCUAAUUCUGGCUGAUAACUGCUUCCUAGGAUAUGUGUUCUUGGUUAGAAAUUUACUCAUUAUCUAAAAGUACCAGUGUUUUUAUUAUUUUAAUUAUAUGUUAUAGAUAUUUCACCGUCUGUAUGAUGGCUUUUAUGGACAUGAGAGAUAUAAUCCAGCUAUUGAGAGUUGCAGACACAAGCCAGAGUUUUAUGGAGUAGUGUUUCUUGUGUAAUAUGGAUGUUGGGUUGCAGCGUUGGCAAUUUUAGUCCUGAGAGCUGUAUGGACUAUCCUGUGUUUUUCUGCUUCUUGUUAUGCUGAUGUGCAUUUUAAAAGAGUCCCUUUUCAUCCAUCAAUUAUGUCCAAGUCAGUACUUGUUAAUAUAUGAGGUUUUUUAUCUUAUUCCCUUAUUUCAGGUGAAACUUCACAUCUAAAUUAUAAGAUUCUGAAAUUUUUCAAGUAGGUGCAACUACACGAUUACAAUGUGAUUGUUAAUGCGGCUAGGACUUAUAUUGACCCCGCUAAAGUUGAGCUCCAGUAAGUUACUGAUUUUAUACAGUUGCAUUAGCUUGAGCUAAUUUAAAGAAUACUAUGACAAGUUAAUUGGCUCUCUUUCAUUCUUGUUCAUGAUAGAAAAAUAUUGUUAAAGCUUCUAUAACUAAUUUAAAUGGUAUGUGCAACAAACUAGAUACAUUCUUUUUCUUUGAUAAUAUGUUUAAUAUACUAAAAAGUGCAUGGUUAAAUUAUCUGCUUAGUUAGCUAGUGCAUAUUAAUUUUGAAAAAAAUUAAUUUCACCUUUUGGACAUGCUUAGGGAGUCGAAAUAAGUGUAUCAUAAUUUAAAACCCUUAAAAGAUUGUAUCAUAAGUAAUACAACAUUGAACAUAGUACAUAAGGCCUUAACAUUAGAAAUUUUAUUGACAUGUAGCUUCAUUUCUUAUAAAACAAAGAAAUAGCGGACGCUAAGAAAAGAAAAAAAGCAAUGUGUGUAACAUGCUUUACAUGAUCUUCAUGCACCAUCCAUUAAUUCCAAGCAAACAUUCAAGGUAAACUCUCUAAAUACUUAAGAUGAGGUAUGUUAAAUUUUAUGAAGGCACUAGCUAAUGUAGAUACUUUCUUACUAAGUGAAUUUUUGAUACAUGAGUCUAUAUUUUAAUUUUUGAAAUGGUUGAUGUAAGACCCCACAGAAUCCUAGUUGUUUGAGUCCUUUAAAGCACGCCAAAAGAGGUCCCAAACUUAAAAAAUUUCAGCUAAGUGUUAGGACUUAGUCUUUUCUAAAGCCCUCAAACUUUGAGGAAUUUAUUUACGACCUUCCCGACCUUAGAAAGUUAGUUUUUAAAUUGAUUCAUGAUUGGGAAAGUCAAUAGUACAUCUCAGGUGAGUUUUGAAAUUUUUGAACAACCGUAAGGACAUGUUUGAAACUCCAAAACAAUGGCUCAGGGCGAUUAGCACGCGGCGCCCUACCCAGUAUGGUGUUGGGGGAAGCCCACGAUGCUGACCGUGGCGCCCUGCCCAGAGCGGCACUGCCGAGCCUACGGCACCCUUGCCAGUUCAGUCUAGGUAAUUUUUGUAGUUUUGUUCCUCAUUUUUAAGGAUAAAUGGGUUAUUUUCCCUUCACCCAAUAAGUCCAUAACACAGGAUUAAAGCCCCAAAUAGAAAAAUUUCUCAUCCUUUUAAAAAAAUCCUCUUAAGAUCAAUCCCUAGUUUUAUCAAGCUCAAGAAUCAAGCCUCAAGAACUCUGAAGUUAACAAUCAAGGUAUGUAAGGUGUUCAUUCAUGAGUUCCUUUCACCCAUGGAGUCCAAGAACCGUAUUUAAACAUAUAAGUUUAUAGAUUUAUGAUUCUUAUGCUUGAAAUUGAUUGUAUUCAAGUUCAUGAUAUUAAUUGGGUUUCAAUCCUUGAAUAAAUUACAAGUUUUAUGAAAUUAAAGAGAAUGUGUGAUGAAUAUGUGAUUAUCACGAUAAACCCUUGAAUUUACAAUUGAUUAUUGUAUCCAUGAUGUUCAUGUGUUAACUAUUAUUAUGCAAAAUAAUCAUGCUCUCCAAGUGUUCGAUAAAAUGCCUAUGUGAAUUUAGUAGCGGACAUGUUAUUAUGAGGUCCCAUUCAUAUACAAGAUCAUGUAUAUUAAGUGUUUAACAAAUUGUCUAAAUGAAUGCAUUAUUAACAAGCAAGUAUUAUUAUGCUUUCAACAUUAUACCAUACUUUAUUUUUAAUGUUAUUGAGUCCUAGGGGUAUUCAAUACCCAAAAAAUCUAGUUGCUUACCUAGAGCUACAGUAGUUAUAGAAUAGUCUCGGUAGUGUCAUGAUUAGUAAUACUCAGUCAGUUAUAAAACUUGGUUAAACCCAGCUCAGUCUAGUUCAGUUAGUCAAAACGAUCAGUAAUAGUUCAGUCAAGCCUAGUACAGCCAAGUGAUCAGUUCAGUGUCUAUUCAGUUGGGAGUAGGAAUCAACACUGAGCGAACCCAGAGAUGGAGGUAUUCCUGCCAGCAUAGGGUUUGAUCCUUAGUAGCAAUCCCUGCAUUAUAGAACUACAUAGCCAGCGUAAGGUAAGACAUCCUUAUGCUAGACUAGGGUUGACAUAACCAUAUAUAUAUAUAUAUAUAAUAUAUGAGUCUUCUUGUCAGCAUUGGGUUGACCCAACAUUGUUAGUAUCCCUUGGCAAGGUGCUAACACCCUUCCAACUAGGGUUACAGGUUGGACCCCAACUCUGCUUAUAUCGGGGUAUGUCGGUUAGAUGAACACUCCUAUAGUUACAAUUUCAGUUCAAGACUUAGUAUAGAACCUAGUUCAGUUAUACAGAAUCAGGACUGUCAGAAAUAGUCACCCAGUUAUUAGUAAUUCAAUUAUCAGAAAUCUAAGAUAUCAAUUACUCAGUUAGAUGAACUCAGUAUUCAGUUUUAGUAUGAUCCCUGAUACAGUAUAUGUGCAUAGUUUUGCAUACUCAGUAUUUAGAGUAGUCUCAGUUAUCCAUGUACUCUUAUUCAAUCAUGUUCAUAUCAUUCAGUCAGUCAUCAUAUCAUGCAUAUAAACCUAUGUAUAUCAGCCUACCUCAUUUAGCAUACCAAUAUAUUUAAAGUAUUGACGCAUACCUUUUUUUUGCGCUAUGAUACUUCAUAUCAUAGGUUCGGAUACACGGGCUCCAAAUCAUACUUAGCAGUUCAGAUUAAUAACAACGACUAUAGUGGUGAGUCCUCAUAUUUUUAGGACUAAGUUAUUCUUUUUAGUAUUUUAGUAGACUCAUUUUAUUCAGUUGUUGGAGUUAGUUAGGGACCUGUCCCAUUAACUCCCCAUUCAGACAGUUAGAGGCUUUCAGACUAGAUUAUUUCAGAUAGUUGUUUAGUUUUCUUUUCAGCAUUACAUUAGUUUUCUUUCACCACUCUUGCCUAUUCUCUGGCAGUCCAUAAUGAAUGUUUAGCUGCUGUUCAGGCCAACACAGUGGUCAAUACUGCUGCAGCUAGAAUUCGAGACUUUACUCGAAUGAACCCUCCAUCUUUUACAGGGUCUAAGUCUGAAGAGGACCCACAGGAAUUCCUUGAUAUGGUAAAGAAAGUCUCAGAUAUUAUGAGGGUAACAGUUAGUGAGAGUGCUAAGUUAGAUGUAUAUCAAUUGCAAGAUGUGGCUCACUCAUGGUUCAAGCAGUGGAAGGCAAAGAAGGCCACAGAUACAAGGCCUCUAGAAUGGGAGGAGUUUUCUACUGCCUUCCUAGAUAGGUUCUUCCUAUUGGAGUUGAGAAAAGCUAAGGUUUUGGAAUUCAUUAAAUUUAAGCAGGGCAACAUUACAAUGAAGGAGUAUUCUCUGAAGUUUACUCAGUUAGCCAGAUAUGCUCCUCAUGUGGUAACCGAUAGUCAAUCUAAUAUGAGUAAGUUUGUGUCAAGGGUGUCCGACGGAGUGGUCAAGUUUAGGACCGCGAUUCUAAUUAAGGGGAUGGAUUUAGCUAGGUUGAUGGUCCAUGCUCAGUAGAUAGAAAAGCAAAAGACUAAAGAGAAAGAGGGAGAGAACAAGAGAGCUAGAACAAAUAGCUUCAACUUUGCUCAGCCUAAGUCAGAGGGUGGUAAUCAUCCCCAAUUUUACCUGAAAUCUUUAGUUUCAGCUCUAUCCUCAGCCAGUGCUCCAGUGCCCAAAUUUAGAAAUGGUAAUAAGAAUAGCGCUCUAGGCUCUAAAUCUUAGGGUAGUGUCAGUAGUUCCCGAAAAAAUACUCUUUGCCAAAAGUGUGGCAAAAACCAUCAGGGUAUCUACAAAGCAGGAAGCAAUGUAUAUUUCGGGUGCGGCAAGCCAGGUCAUAUAAUCAGAGAGUAUCCUUAGAUGGGUUCUUAGAUUCAGCAUAAUCAUCCCCCAGCUUAGUUCGGUUGCCCGUCUCAGUAGGGUGCCACUUACAGUACCACCAGUGGGCAACACCCAAACAGACUCUAUUCUUUUCAAUCCCAAUAGGAUCAAGAAAAUUCUCUUGACGUGAUCAUUGGUACGUUCCAAGUUUAUCAUUUACAUGUUUAUGCUUUUCUAGAUCCAAGAGCUUCUUUGUCCUUUGUAACUCCUUAUAUAGCUGUUAACUUCGAAGUCAGUCCCGAAAUCCUAGCAGAGCCCUUCUCAAUCUCUACCACAGUAGGUAAAUCUAUCAUAGCCUAGCAGGUAUACAAGAAUUAUCCGGUUAUGGUAUCUCAGAAAGUAACUUCAAAAAACUUAAUAGAGUUAGAGAUGAUAGAUUUUGACAUUAUUAUCAGCAUGGAUUAGCUUUAUUCAUGUCAUGCUUCAGUUGACUACAAAAAUAGAAUUGUCCAUUUUUAGUUCCCGAAUGAACCUGUCCUAGAAUGAAAGGGUAGUACUUCAUCACUCAGGGGUCUGCUUGUUUCCUACCUUAGAGAAAAAAGGAUGAUAUCUAAGAGGUGUGUGUAUCAUCUCGUUCGAGUUAAAUACUCUAGUUCAGAGACCCAUAACCUUGAGUCAGUUUUAGUAGUAUAUGAAUUUCUAGAUGUAUUUCCUAAAGAUUUUCCUGGAGUUCCUCCCAAAAGGGAAAUUAAUUUUGGGAUAGACCUUCUUCCUGACACUCAGCCCAUCUCUAUUCUGCCAUACAGGAUGGCUCCAGCUAAACUUAAAGAAUUAAAAGAACAGUUGAAAGACCUCCUAGAUAAGGGGUUCAUUAGGCCUAGUGUUUCCCCAUGGGAUGCACUGGUUCUAUUUGUGCAUAAGAAAGACGAUUCUCUUAGAAUGUGUAUUGAUUAUCAUUAGUUGAACAAAGUCAUAUUCAAGAAUAAGUAUUCGCUUCCUAGAAUUGAUGACUUUUUUAACCAACUUCAAGGUAGCAGUUACUUUUCUAAGAUAGACCUCAGAUCAGGCUAUCAUCAUCUCAGAGUCAAGGAAUGUGAUAUUCCAAAAAUAGCUUUUAGAACUCGGUAUGGUCACUUUGAAUUCCUAGUUAUGUCAUUCGAUCUUACCAAUGCCCCAGCAACCUUCAUAGACUUGAUGAACCGAGUGUUUAAGCAGUACUUAGACAUGUUCGUUAUAGUCUUCAUCGAUGACAUUCUUGUCUACUCCCGUAGUGAACAUGGUCAUGCAAACCAUCUCAAAAUAGUAUUACAGACCCUCAGAGCCCAUCAGUUAUUCGCCAAAUUUAGUAAAUGCAAAUUUUGGCUAAGUUCAGUAGCUUUCUUUGGUUAUAUAGUUUCUGGUGAUAGCAUUAGAGUUGAUCCUCAAAAGACAGAAGAAAUGAGAAACUGGCCCAGACCCAUCUCUCUAAUAGAUAUCAGGAGUUUCUUGGGUUUGGCUGGCUAUUACCAAUGGUUUGUUAAAGGAUUUUCAUUUAUUCCAUCCCCCAUGUCCAGAUUAACUCAGAAGAAAGUCAAGUUCCAAUGGUCAGAUUCUUGUGAUAAGAGUUUUUGUUAGUUGAAUACUCGACUUACUACGACCCCAGUUUUGACUUUACCAAAUGGUUCAGACGGGUUUGUUGUGUAUUGUGAUGCUUUCAUAGUUGGGUUGGGGUGUGUUUUGAUGUAGAGAGGUAAGGUCAUAGCCUAUGCCUCUAGAUAGCUCAAGCCCCAUGAAAAGAAUUACCCCACACAUGAUCUCGAGUUAGCAGCUGUGGUAUUUGCCUUAAAGAUUUGAAGACACUAUUUGUAUGGGGUGUAUGUUGAUGCAUUUACAGACCAUAAGAGUUUGAUGUAUGUAUUCUCUCAAGAAGAUUUGAACUUGCAUCAGAGAAGGUGGUUCGAGUUAUUGAAAGACUAUGACAUGAGUGUUCUGUAUCAUCCAGGCAAGGCCAAUAUAGUGGCUGAUGUUCUAAGUAGAUUGUCCAUGGGUAGUGUUGCUCACAUUGAGGAUGAUAAGAAAAAGUUAGUUUAAGAAUUCUAUCAGCUUGUCUGACUAGGUGUCUGCUUAGUUGACUCAACAGAGGGUAGUGUAUGGGUGUAGAAUAGUUUACAAUUAUCUCUUGUUUCCGAAGUAAAGGAAAAAUAGGACAGAGAUCCUAGUCUUGUUAAGUUAAAAGAGUUAAUCAGUGAUCAGAAGGUAGAGGUUUUCUCCCGGGGGGGAGAUGGUGUGUUGCAUUACCAAGGUCGGCUAUGUGUGCCAGGUGUAGAUGACUUAAGGCAAUAAAUUCUUGCAAAAGCGCACGGUGCACAUUACACGAUUUAUUUAGGGGCCACUAAGAUGUACCAUAAUUUACAGGAGAUCUAUUGGUGGAGUGGGAUGAAGAGGGAUAUCACAAAGUUUGUAUCUAAGUUCUUUAUGUGUCAGCAGGUUAAGAUUGAGCACCAGAAGCCUAGUGGGUCCAUGCAAGAGUUCAGUAUUCCCACAUGGAAAUGGGAAGAAGUGAAGAUGGACUUUGUGAUGGGUUUGCCUCAUACUCAUUAUCAACAUGAUUCAAUUUGGUUUAUUGUAGACAGGAUGACCAAAUCUGCUCAUUUCUUUCCAGUUCAUACCUCUUAUUCAGUCAAGGAUUAUGCCAAGCUCUAUGAUAACGAGUUGGUUAGAUUGCAUAGUGUACCGUUGCCCAUUAUUUUUAAUAGAGGUAUGUAGUUCACCUCUUAUUUUUAGAAAGCCUUCUAAAGGGGUCUUGGUACCCACGUCCACCUCAAUACAACCUUCCACCCUCAGAUAGAUGGUCAAGAAGAAAGGACCAUUCAGAUUCUAGAGGAUAUAUUGAGAGUGUGUGUUAUUGACUUUAAGGGUAGUUGGGAUGACAACUUACCUUUGAUUGAGUUUUCAUAUAAUAACAGCUACCAUUCCAGUAUCCAGAUAUCUCUAUUUGAGGCUCUUUACGGGAGAAGAUGUAGAUCUCCCAUUGGUUGGUUCAAAGUAGAUGAGCCCGCAGUAGUAGGACCUGACUUGGUGUUUGAUGCCUUAGAAAAGGUGCAGUUAAUCAGAGAAAGGCUUAGGGUAUCCCAGAGCCGACAAGUCAUAUGUAGAUGUGAGGAGGAAGGAUCUCAAGUUUGAGAUUGGAGAUUUUGUAUACUUGAAAAUCUCUCCCAUAAAGGGGGUGAAAAGGUUCGGCAAGAAGGGAAAGCUUUGUCCCUAAUAUGUCAGUCCUUACAGAAUUCUUAGUCAUUUUAAAAAGGUAGCUUACAAGAUUGAGUUUCCUUCCUACCUAUCCUCUGUACACCCAGUAUUCCAUGUCUCCUUGCUAAAGAAAUACAUUAGUGACCCAACAGUCGUAGUCCUCUUAGAGGACGUAAAUAUUCAGAAUGAUCUCUUUUUUGAAGAGGUUCCAGUCCAAAUCCUUGAUCGUCAUAUUCACAGAUUGAGGAACAAAGAAGUUUCCUUCGUCAAAGUUCUUUAGUGGAAUCAGUCGGUUGAGGGAGCUACUUGGGAAGCAGAAGCGGAUAUGCAGACCAGGUAUCCUCCCCUCUUCUCUGCAAACUUAGACUCAGGUUGAGGUAACAGUCUUUGUUAGAUUUACUCUACUCCAUGCUCAAUUACAGUCGCAUAACAUUCUUAUAUCAUUCAUGCAUUCAUGAAACAGUUCAUCCAUAUGUCUUGUCUCUAGAAUUAAGUCAUGCUUUAGUUGUGCAUUUUAGUGUAAGUACAGUUCAAGCAGUUUUUCUUAGUUCCAUCAGUCCCAUUAGAGGAUGAAUGUUCCCAAGGGGUAGAUAUUGUAAGAACCCACAGAAUCCUAGUCGUUGAAGUCCUUUAAAGUAUGCCAAAAGAGGGGACUUAUAAAAUUUCAGCUAAGUGUUAGGACUUAGUAAUUUCUAAAGCCCUCAAACUUUGAGGAAUUUAUUAACGACCUUCCCAACUUUAGAAAGUUAGUUUUUAAGUUGAUUGAUGAUUGGAAAAGUCAAUAGUACAUCUCGGGUGAGUUUUGCAAUUUUCGGACAAGCGUAAGGGCGUGUUUGAAACUCCAAAACAGUGGCUCAAGGUGAUUAGCCCGUGGUGCCCUUCCCAGUCAGAUGCUAGGGGGAGCCCGCAAUGCAGACAACAGUGCCCUACCCAGAGCAGCGCUCCCGAGCCAGCGGCGCCCUGGCCAAUCCAGUCCGAGUAAUUUCUGCUGUUUUGUUCCGUGUUUUUAAGGGUAAAUGGGUCAUUUUUCCUUCACACAAAUUAAAGCCCCAAAUAGUGAAAUUUCUCAUCCUUUUCACAAAAUCCUCUCAAGAUCAAGCCCUAGUUUCAUCAAGCUCAAGAAUCAAGCCUGAAGAACUUACCACAAUCUCCACAAAGUUAACAAUCAAGGUAUGUUAGGUGUUCAUUCAUGUGUUCCUUUCACCUAUGGAGUCCAAGAAUCCUAUUUAAACAUACAAGUUUUUAGAUUUAUGAUUCCCAUGCUUGAAAUUGAUUGUAUUCAUGUUCAUGAUAUUAAUUGGUUUUUAAUCCUUGAUUAAAUUGUAAGUUUCAUGAAAUUAAAUAGCAUGUGUGAUGACUAUGUGAUUAUCAUAAUAAACCCUUGAAUUUACAAUUGAUUAUUGUAUCCAUGAUGUUCAAGUGUUGAAUAUUAUUAUGUGAAAUAAUCAUGCUCCCCAAGUGUGAGAUAAAAUGCUUAUGUGAAUUGAGUAGUGGACGUGUUAUUAUGAGGUCCCAUUUAUGUACAAGCUCAUGCAUAUUAAGUGUUUGACAAAUUGUCUAAAUGAAUGCAUUAUUAACAAGCAAGUAUUAUCAUGCUUUCAAGAUUAUACCAUACUUUAUUUUCAAGGUUAUCGAGUCCUGGGGUAUUCAAUACCCAAAAAAUCCAGCUAUUUACCUAGAGAUACAGUAGUUAUAGAAUAGUCUCAGUAGUGUCAUGAUCAGUAGUACUCAGUCAGUUACAGAACUCAGCUGAACUCACCUCAGUCUAGUUCAGUCAGUCAAAAUAAUUAUUAAUAGUUCAGUUAAGCCUAGAAAAGCCUAGUGAUCAAUUCAGUGUCUAUUCAGUUGGGAGUAGAAAUCAGCACCGAGCGAACCCAGGGAUGAGGGCAUUCCUUCCAGCAUAGGGUUUGAUCCUUAGUAGCAAUCUCUGCAUUAUAGGACUACGUAUCCAGCGUAAGGAAAGACAUCCUCCUGCCAGACUAGGGUUGACGCAACCAUACAUAUAUAAUUUAUGAGUCUUCCUGUCAGCAUAAGGUUGACCCAACAUUGUUAGUAUCCCUUGUCAAGGUGUUAACACCCUUCCAACUGAGGUUACAGGUUGGACCCUAACUCAGCUUAUAUUGGGGUAUAUUGGUUAGAUAAACACUCCCACAGUUACAGUUUCAGUUCAAGACUCAGUAUAAAACCCAGUUCAGUUCUACCGAAUUAGGACUGUAAAAAAUAGUCACCUAGUUAUUAGUAAUUCAGUUAUCAAAAAUCUCAAAUAUCAGUCACUCAGUUAGCAGAACUCAGUAUUCUGUUUCAAUAUGAUCCUGGAUACAGUAUAUGUGCAUAGUAUUGCAUACUCAACAUUUACAGUAGUCACAGUUAUCUAUGUACUCUCAUUCAAUCAUGUUCAUAUCAUUCAGUCAGUCAUCAUAUCAUACAUAUAAACCCAUGUAUAUCAGCCUAUCGUAGGUUCAAAUGCACGAGCUCCAGAUCGUACUUAGCAGUUCAGAUUAAUAGCGGCGACUACAAUGGUGAGUCCUCAUAUUUCGAGGACUGAGUUAUUCUUUUCAGUUGUUGGAGUUAGUUGGGGAUUUGUCCUAUCAACUCCCCAUUCAGACAGUUAGAGGCUUUCAGACUAGAUUAUUUCAGACAGUUAUUCAGUUUUAUUUUCAGUAUUACAUCAGUAUUUCAGUAUUGAUUUUCAAUGUUUGUGAACCUUAUGGCAUUUCAUUUAUACUUCCGCUUUAUUACAGUAUUACUAUUCAGUGCUCACAGCAGGUACCAGUCAUGAGUUGUUUUGUGGUCCUUCGGGAUCGUAAGCACCGUGUGACAUCCGGGGUAUAGACUCGGGGCAUUAAAGUUGAUCUAUGAUUUCAUUCUAAAACUAAAUUAUCACAGGUUGGUAGUAUUAGACUAACCUUCGUAUGAGUGUUGUGUUUUCGGUUAAUUCACCUUUAGAAUAAACUUUAAGCUAAAGGUGAGAUUCUCUUCUAAGGAAAGAAGUGAAGUAGCAUUUAAGCUUUAAAGUUAGUAGACCUAAUUUAGUACAUAUUUUCUCUUUAUUUUAUUAUAUAGGAAAGCUUUCAAGUGAUUUUUGUCACUGAUUUUAUUUUCAAUGCUUAGUUGUCCAUUCCUUUAGUUUAUUUGAAUGUGCAGAAAGUUGUAAAUAAUUUUGAUGUUGCUUUCUGAACAAAAGGCUAGAAUUGGUGGAUGUAUCAAAAACUUCAAGUUAAUCUAUAGGUAUAAUUGGUUUGUUAAUUGGAUAUCUUUUCAAGCCUUGGAAACAUUCUGUACCAGAAAUGUAAAGUAAGGCUGCAUACAAUACACCUUUGUAGUGAGACCCUUUCUUGGUCCCUGCGCAUGGCGGGAGCUUUAGUGCACUAGGCUGGCAUCUCUUUUCUAAUCAUGACUGUGUUCUUUUGCUUGAGUUGUCUUUUUUUUUCUUUUUUAUUUGAUGUAUAUUUUCUGUAAAAAUCAUAGUUCUUGCUCUUUAUUAUUUUUUUAUAAGUGUAUUUUUAAAUUAGCUUUAAUUAAAGAAAGGAACUUCUUUGUUAUUAAAUUUCAUGGCUAGUACUAAGCAAUUUGUUUUUUUAUGCAUUACAUAAUGAAUUUUAUAAGGAAAAGGAAUAUCUAUAUUUUAUUUUAUCGAUAAUUAUUCCAUAGAAAACAUAAUAUUAAGAGGAAGUUUUGGAGUGAAGUAUGUUCUUUUCAAAAAAAUUUGCAGGAGGGUGUGCAUAAAUGAGUUAAGACUGCCCUAAUAAUCAGAUCACAAGAUCCAAGAAAGUGAUUUUACAAUAAAGAAACAUCCAUAAUUUCCUUCUGUUCUGAAGAUUAGGUCAUAAAGCUAUUUUGAUGUGUAAAUAAUCUUAUCUUCAUUUGUUGGCAACGUUUUUUAUUAUAUUUAAGGAUCAAACUGUAAAUUAUUUACAAAUAGAGAUAGCUCUGACAUACAUAGUAUGACUUUUAAGGUAAUGUGAAUCUUUUAUAAACGCACAUAAUCAAGUUAUAAUUUUCAAGACAAUCCAGUAAAGAACAAUUAUGAAAGAGAUUGCACUUCCACUUUAACCAAGGUAGCCCCAGUAGAGAUCAAUUAAUAGAAGAGAUUGCAUUUCCACAUAAAUUAGAAAUCGGGAAAAAAUGAAGAAAGCAUUCUUACCGGAUAUCUUAUGCCAACUGUAUGAGAACACCAUGGAUGCUUAUGUUAUAAGGGUGAAACUUGGUAAGAAUAUUUGGACGUGUAAAGGUAAGUAGUCUUUGUAUAAAAAGGAUUAUAAACAUGUUUAGAUGCUAUCUGCGACUUAUUAUCAGUGCUCCAUAUUUUUUAUUUAUUGUCUGCAUGUUU
rnacentral:lncRNA from 1 species